rnacentral:rRNA from 1 species
GAUGAACGCUGGCGGCGUGCCUAAUACAUACAAGUCGAGCGAAUGACGAGGAGCUUGCUCCUCUGAUUUAGCGGCGGACGGGUGAGUAACACGUGGGUAACCUGCCUGUAAGACGGGGAUAACUCCGGGAGACCGGAGCUAAUACCGGAUGAUAACGAGAAGCGCCUGCUUCUUUUUUGAAAGUCGGUUUCGGCUGACGCUUACAGAUGGGCCCGCGGCGCAUUAGCUAGUUGGUGAGGUAACGGCUCACCAAGGCGACGGUGCGUAGCCGACCUGAGAGGGUGAUCGGCCACACUGGGACUGAGACACGGCCCAGACUCCUACGGGAGGCAGCAGUAGGGAAUCUUCGGCAAUGGACGAAAGUCUGACCGAGCAACGCCGCGUGAGCGAUGAAGGCCUUCGGGUCGUAAAGCUCUGUUGUCAGAGAAGAACAAGUACCGGAGUAACUGCCGGUACCUUGACGGUACCUGACCAGAAAGCCACGGCUAACUACGUGCCAGCCGCCGCGGUAACAC